rnacentral:rRNA from 1 species
AAACUGCGAAUGGCUCAUUAUAUAAGUUAUCGUUUAUUUGAUAGUGCCUCCUACUUGGAUAACCGUGGUAAUUCUAGAGCUAAUACAUGCUAAAAAUCCCGACGGAAGGGAUGUAUUUAUUAGAUUAAAAGCCAAUGCCCUCCGGGGCUCACUGGUGAUUCAUAAUAACUUCACGGAUCGCACGGCCUUGCGCCGGCGAUGGUUCAUUCAAAUUUCUUCCCUAUCAACUUUCGAUGUUUGGGUAUUGGCCAAACAUGGUGGCAACGGGUAACGGAGGGUUAGGGCUCGACCCCGGAGAAGGAGCCUGAGAAACGGCUACUACAUCCAAGGAAGGCAGCAGGCGCGCAAAUUACCCAAUCCCGAUUCGGGGAGGUAGUGACAAUAAAUACUGAUACAGGGCUCUUUUGGGUCCUGUAAUUGGAAUGAGUACAAUUUAAAUCCCUUAACGAGGAACAAUUGGAGGGCAAGUCUGGUCCAGCAGCCGCGGUAAUUCCAGCUCCAAUAGCGUAUAUUAAAGUUGUUGUGGUUAAAAAGCUCGUAGUUGAAACUUGGGCCUGGCUGGCCGGUCCGCCUCACCGCGUGUACUGGUCCGGCCGGGUCUUUCCUCUGUGGAACUCCAUGCCCUUCACUGGGUGUGGAGGGAACAGAACUUUUACUUUGAAAAAAUUAGAGUGCUUCAGGCAGGCUUUGCUCGAAUACAUUAGCAUGGA